ACUUUAAUUGAAGAGUUUGAUCAUGGCUCAGAUUGAACGCUGGCGGCAGGCCUAACACAUGCAAGUCGAGCGGUAACAGAAAGAAAGCUUGCUUUCUUUGCUGACGAGCGGCGGACGGGUGAGUAAUGCCUGGGAAUAUACCCUGAUGUGG
rnacentral:rRNA from 1 species